rnacentral:rRNA from 1 species
AGAGUUCGAUUAUGGCUCAGGAUGAACGCUGGCGGCAUGCCUAAGACAUGCAAGUCGAACGGAGCGGCCCAUUGAAAUGGAGUGCUUGCACAAAGUGGAUUUGGAUUCCCGCUUAGUGGCGAAAGGGUGAGUAACACGUGGGUUAUCUACCUCAGAGACUGGAAUAACAAUUGGAAACGAUUGCUAAUGCCGGAUGAUAUAUAAAACGAUACGUUGUUUUAUAUUAAAAGGAGCCUUUAAAGCUUCACUUUGAGAUGAGCCCGCGGCGUAUUAGCUAGUUGGUGAGGUAAUGGCCCACCAAGGCAACGAUGCGUAGCCGGCCUGAGAGGGUGAUCGGCCACAUUGGGACUGAGACACGGCCCAA